UUGAACGCUGGCGGCAUGCCUUACACAUGCAAGUCGAACGGUAACAGCUCUUCGGAGGCUGACGAGUGGCGAACGGGUGAGUAAUACAUCGGAACGUGCCCGAUCGUGGGGGAUAACGGAGCGAAAGCUUUGCUAAUACCGCAUACGAUCUACGGAUGAAAGCAGGGGACCCUCGGGCCUUGCGCGAACGGAGCGGCCGAUGGCAGAUUAGGUAGUUGGUGGGAUAAAAGCUUACCAAGCCGACGAUCUGUAGCUGGUCUGAGAGGACGACCAGCCACACUGGGACUGAGACACGGCCCAGACUCCUACGGGAGGCAGCAGUGGGGAAUUUUGGACAAUGGGCGAAAGCCUGAUCCAGCAAUGCCGCGUGCAGGAUGAAGGCCUUCGGGUUGUAAACUGCUUUUGUACGGAACGAAAAGUCUCGGGAUAAUACCCUGGGACCAUGACGGUACCGUAAGAAUAAGCACCGGCUAACUACGU
rnacentral:rRNA from 1 species